CACAGCUUUUGUCUUCCUGCUCUUAGCUUGACGUUGUGUCUGGCCACACGGGCCAUGUUGGCUAUUUUUACUGACAGCAGCCACCAGCGCAUAUGGUUCCUAUUACCACAAACUGUUACCUUCAUUGAAACCAGUUUGCAAAUGAGUGGACUGCAGACAGCAGGGAGGUCAAGUCCACGUGGCCACUCACAGGACUCCUGGGAUUGGCCUGGACAGAGGUAACGGGACAGAAGCUUGGAGGGCCUCACUCACUCUCUCAAGUCUCCGUACCUAGUAAGGAAUGUCAGCCUGGACCUCAGGCCUCAACACUACUGUUGCCUGAAUGGCCUGAAACAAAACCAGGCAAGACUUGUUCAAAGACAUCAGCUAGCAGCUUGCAGCAGGGCCUGAUGGGGCAUGUCUCAUCGAAACUGGAAGCUGGCAUUGAGACCCGGGCUCACGAUGGCACUCUAAAGCUGCUGCCACUCCAGCUGGAUGACACAAAAUGGGUGUAAACAAAGGGCUUCUUCCUGCAGUGUAGAAUGUCAUCUUAGGAAGGUCCGGGAGCUAUGGUAGUGCACUGCACGCAGGCCUGCCAGAGCGGCGGGGAGGUGAAAAGGAAAGCUCUGGAAUUGGAAUGAGUCUGGAGGCAGGGGAAAACAUCUUGCUUUUCCCUGAGGCUAUUUCCAGAGCUUGGAUGAGGACCAGUGACAGGGUUGCAGGUCCACUGGUCUACAUGACCACAAGCAGAAAUCAGGUAACACAGGUUGGAUCCUUUAACUUUUAUAGGGUUUGUGGAAUUACAACAUCAAGGGCUACUAUGAUAAGUCAGGGGCAUCUGAAACUGUUCAGAAUAAAUUCUUUUUAAGAUAUCUCUCUCCU